UUAAAAUUUUAUUUAAGUUUAAUAAUUAAAUUUUAUUUUCAAUUAUAUGUAAAAUUUUAUUUAAAAAUGAUUUGCAGUAAUUAAAUUUAAAUAUUCAAGAAAUUGAGAUUUAGGAAAAAUAAAUAAUAUAAACUAAAUUUGUGCCAGCAGUUGCGGUUAUACAAAUUAUAUGAUUUAAUUUUAUUAAUUGUAGUUAAUUUAAUUAAUUAAAAUUUUUAAUUUAAAUUAUUAAGUGAAAUUAUAAUUUAUUAUAAAAUUUUAUUUAAAAUAAAUGAAUUAAAAAAUUUAAGAUUUAAACUAGGAUUAGAUACCCUACUAUUUUAAUUGUAAUUUUAAAAAUUAAAUUAUUAUUAGUUAUGUUCUUGAAAAUUAAAAAAUUUGGCGGUAUUUUAGUCUUUUCAGAGGAACCUGUUUUAUAAAUGAUAAUCCACGAUUUAAUUUACUUAUUUUAUUAGCUUAUAUAUCGUCGUAUAUUAAAUAUUUUAAAAGAAUUUAAAUAUUUAAGAUUUUUUAUUAAAAAAUAAAUCAGAUCAAGAUGUAGUUUAUAAUUAAGUAAAAAUGGGUUACAGUAAAUUUAUUUUAAGAUUUUAAUUAUUAUAAUUAUUUGAAUUUGGAUUUGAAAGUAAUUUAAAUUAAUUAAUUUAAAUGAUUUUAGCUCUAAAAUAUGUACAUAUUGCCCGUCGCUUUCAUUUAAAAUGGAAUAAGUCGUAACAAAGUAGAUUAACUGGAAAGUGAAUCUAGAAUCAA
rnacentral:ncRNA from 1 species